GACCUCAAAUCGGGUGGGACUACCCGCUGAACUUAAGCAUAUCAAUAAGCGGAGGAAAAGAAACUAACAAGGAUUCCCCUAGUAACGGCGAGUGAAGAGGGAAAAGCUCAAAUUUUGAAUCUGGUGUCUUUGACGCCCGAGUUGUAAUCUAGAGAAGUGUUUUCCGUGUCGGACCGUGCACAAGUUCCCUGGAACGGGGCGUCAUAGAGGGUGAGAAUCCCGUAUAUGGCACGGACUGCCGAUGCUUUGUGAUACACUCUCAACGAGUCGAGUUGUUUGGGAAUGCAGCUCAAAAUGGGUGGUAAAUUCCAUCUAAAGCUAAAUAUUGGCGAGAGACCGAUAGCGAACAAGUACCGUGAGGGAAAGAUGAAAAGCACUUUGGAAAGAGAGUGAAACAGUACGUGAAAUUGUUGAAAGGGAAGCGUUUGAAGUCAG
rnacentral:rRNA from 1 species